rnacentral:tRNA from 1 species
GGCGCAGUGGCGAAGUGGAAACGCUGGGGUCUGCAAAACCUCGACGCGAGGGUUCGAUUCCCUCCUGCGCCUCCA